GAUGAACGCUGACAGAAUGCUUAACACAUGCAAGUCGAUGAGAAGACUCCCUUCGGGGAGAGGGUAUCAUGGCGGACGGGUGAGCAACGCGUAAAGAACUUGCCAUAUGGACAGGGAUAACCGAUGGAAACGACGGAUAAGACCUGAUAUAAUGAAUUAAUGGCAUCAUUGAUUCAUGAAAAGCAAUGCCAUAUGAGAGCUUUGCGUCCUAUUAGCUAGUUGGUAGUGUAACGGACAACCAAGGCGAUGAUAGGUAGCCGGCCUGAGAGGGUGGACGGCCACAAGGGGACUGAGAUACGGCCCUUACUCUUACGGGAGGCAGCAGUGGGGAAUAUUGGACAAUGGAGGUAACUCUGAUCCAGCAAUUCUGUGUGCACGAAGAAGGUCUUCGGAUUGUAAAGUGCUUUAAGUUGGGAAGAAAAAAAUGACGGUACCAACAGAAUAAGCGACGGCUAAAUACGUGCCAGCAGCCGCAGUAA
rnacentral:rRNA from 1 species